rnacentral:rRNA from 1 species
UACGUAGGGGGCAAGCGUUGUCCGGAAUUAUUGGGCGUAAAGCGCGCGCAGGCGGUCAUUUAAGUCUGGUGUUUAAGCCCGGGGCUCAACCCCGGUUCGCAUCGGAAACUGGAUGACUUGAGUGUAGGAGAGGAAAGUGGAAUUCCACGUGUAGCGGUGAAAUGCGUAGAGAUCCGGAGGAACACCAGAGGCGAAGGCGGCCUGCUGGGCUGCACCUGACGCUGAGCCGCGAAAGCCAGGGGAGCGAACGGG